rnacentral:rRNA from 1 species
AACGAACGCUGGCGGCAUGCCUAACACAUGCAAGUCGAACGAGACCUUCGGGCCUAGUGGCGCACGGGUGCGUAACGCGUGGUAACCUGCCCUUAGGUUCGGAGCAACUCCCCGUAAGGGGUGUUAAUAUCGGUUAAUGUAUUAGCACCAAAGAUUUAUCGCCUUUGGAUGGGGCCGCGUUGGAUUAGCUAGUUGGUAGGGUAAUAGCAUACCAAGGCGACGUUCCAUAGCUGGUCUGAGAGGCUGAUAAGCCACACUGGAGCUGAGACACGGCCAAGACUGCUAGGGGAGGCAGCAGUAGGGAAUAUUAGAGAAUGGGCGAUAGCCUGAGCAAGCAGUGCCGGGUAAGUGAUGAUGGGGUUAGGGUAAUGAAGCCCUUUUAGCCGAGAUGAUAGUGACAGUACCGGGAGAAUAAGCUCCGGCUAACUACGUG